GAGCAGCAAAGGCCAGAUCAGGUAUGCAAAUCUUUAAGUCUGAUAACCCCAAAUCCUUAGUUACAGUAAUAGUAGAGGAAAUAAGAUAUGCCACUGAGAAGAUAGGGAAACAGAGCUCCACAGUGUGACUUCCUCAAGCAACACAAGACAUCUCAGGAAGAGAAACACAGCCUUGUCUGGAUGCUGCCAUUUCAGUCCACAUGCACAUGAGCUGUGAAGGAUGAGGAUCACAAGGAUGGCCAAUACACAUCUCCUAGGUGCUCCAACAACAUCACUGCAAACGUUUCCAGAGCUUUCCAGGCUGGACUCUGCAGGCCAUAGUGCUCUCCAGCCACACUUACUCAUGAGAGCUAUUCAAUUGAAAAGAAAGAAAAUCCCACUCAUUUAGCACACGG
ensembl:lncRNA